UUUAUUUGUAUAAAAAUUUUUUUUGUUUCAAUCAUGGAUAGCACCCGUCUCCUUCGAGUGGUAACUGAAAAUUUAAAUGUUAUAGUGUCGAACGGUAGACGUCCUCGAGCUGGACCCUUUGAUAUUCAGGUGCGAUGAAAAUCGUUUACAAUCAAUUUACUGGUGGUAGGGCGUCUGAUGAGCCCACACGAGUAGGCGUCUGAAGGUACCACCACCCUGCCUAUUUCUACCGUGAAUCAGUAAUGCGUUUUAUCUUAAGCGUUGCGGCAAUUAUAUUGUAAAAACUGAAACUUAGAAAUUCAUAUCUCAAGAUCGGUGUCGGUUCUUAUUUUCCCUACUAAGGUGAGGGUCUAGAGAGACCAUAUCAGUCUCACCUACUAGUUAAGGCGACGCUGAUAUAGCCUCUCAAGGCUAUCAGCUUAGGUAGGAAAAAAAAACAGAAGGCGCUUAAUUUUCUAUUUAACUAAUUUCACUGAUAAUGUCGCUCUUUUGAUGACAAAUAAAUGACUGAUAAAUGACAUUGAAAAUAAUUUGUUCUUUUUCUGUAAAAAUUUAGAUUCUCUGUAACAUUACGGUAACAAUGAUAACCAAUACACAAUGUUUUUCGAAUUAGUAAUACAUACGUGUAGUUUGUACGUCAUCUUGACAACAAUAAUUAUGUAUGAUGUGUAAAAAAAAAAACUACGUGUAAUAUAUUCAUGUAUAUAUUCUCCUUUAUCAAUGACACUGCAUAAUUAUUAUUAUUAUUAUUAAAUUCUUUUAUUUCACAUAAUGAUCCAUGUAACUGUUAGUAACAGUGUUUUUUUAAAAAAUUAGUCAGUAAGGACACAAUAAUAAAAGAAAACAACAAUACAUAUACUACAUACGAUUGCAGUAGCGGUUACUGGAGCCCAUAAACAUCUACAACGUACAUACGCCACCCACCUUGAGAUAUAAGUUCUAAGAUGUCAGUAUAGUUACAACGGCUGCCCCGCCCUUCAAACCGAAAGGCAUUACUACUUCACGGCAGAAAUAGGCAGGGCGGUGGUACCUAUCCGCGCGGACUCACAAGAGGUCCUACCACCAGUAAACCUCUCUGCAAUGAUUCAGAAAAGGUCCAUCUAAUCUAGAAAAUAUCAUGGCCAGGAUGCUAUUGGAGCUAACCCCUACCCUGCAGAGCAAGGACGCGCAUCGCUUUCUUAAUAUGGCAUAGAAAUCGUCGGUGCGCGCCUCCGCAAACAUGCUCGAUGCGCUGCAGAAUCGAGGCAGCCGACGUUUCAGAGCCAUCGAUUCGCCUCGAAGGCUCCGUCGGCUGAGCGUCCUUGGGGUGAGCCGCGCUGUCUGGUUGUAGUGUUGACCGCGGUAACCCCCCCUACCUCAUCCGGGUUCUGGCCUCGGAGGGGAUCGGACGUCGAGUGUAAGAGUGCAGGGGAGUCGUUUAGUGGGUGGGCCCUAAAAUCCUUGAGCCCGCGAUCUGCUCUCAACACCUGCAGAUCGUUGAGUCUCACAUAUCCCGAGCGCCCCUUAUGCGCGGGGACCUUGUAGAAGGUUCGGCCCCCGGCACGAAAAAAAAAAAGGCGUUAUACUGCUUUUGCAAAGUAAUUAAUGACGCUCGCUUCAUGCGAUUAACAAACA